UCCCUGGUGGUCAAGUGGUUAGGACUCUGCACUUUCAUUGCCGAGGGCCCAGUUCAGUCCCUAGCCAGGGAA
rnacentral:tRNA from 1 species